GGUGAUGCUGUAAACAGGGAGUCACAGAGAAGAAAAAGAUGUUUUCUGUUAUCCGUGCUGGGGGAACACAAAGUGGGGAGAUGCCAGCAAUAUAAAGAAGUUACAUACUUCAAAAGAAAUUAAGUACCAGCAGCAGCACUAACCAGUGAACCUGUCAUGAAGAAGGACAGACACACAAAGGACUAAUAUAGCUGCCUUUGGAAGUGGAAUUACAUCUCUGACUCAGAAGUUAGGUUUUAUAUCACAAUGGUAUUCAACAAAUAAUGAGAAAUUCUGAAGAACAUGGAAAAUUUAGGGGGCAAGGCAGAAACAUACUGGAGCUGAGCUUUGGUUUGUGUGAAUAUGUAUGUGAUAACCAGCAUAUCUCUCAAAAAACAGGAUGCCCAGAGUUGUUGUAGCUGCCCCAUCCCUGGAAGUGCUCAAGGCCAAGUUGGAGAUGGCUUUGAGAAAUCUGCUCUAAUGGAAAGUGUCCCCGCCCAUGCUAGGGGGCUUGGAACUAAAUAAUCUUUAAGGUCCCUUCCAACACAAGCACUUGAUAACUGUGGGUUCAACUAAAUGGAUUAUGCCCUACAUAAUCCUGUCAUCCACCAAUUGAAGUAUCUUUUUAGUUGGGAGGGUUUAUAUAGAAAAAGGCAGUAACCGCAAUCAAUUUUUAAUUAAAUAUCUUCAAAUCUAUUCUGUCAGAUUCUUUUUCUCUGCAUGACAGCAUGACUGAGGUUGAGUUUGCUCAAGAACUGAUCUGCCAAAAUUCUGAAGGAACCAAAA